GGUUAAGCGAAUAAGCGUACACGGUGGAUGCCUAGGCAAUCAGAGGCGAUGAAGGACGUGCUAAUCUGCGAAAAGCGUCGGUAAGGUGAUAUGAACCGUUAUACCCGACGAUAUCCGAAUGGGGAAACCCAGUAUCCAAUGGAUACUAUCAUUAACUGAAUCCAUAGGUUAAUGAGGCGAACCGGGAGAACUGAAACAUCUCAGUACCCCGAGGAAAAGAAAUCAACCGAGAUUCCCCUAGUAGCGGCGAGCGAACGGGGAGCAGCCCAGAGUCUUAAUCAAUAGCAGUGUCAGGAGAACGGUCUGGAAAGUCCGGCAGUAAAGGGUGAUAGCCCCGUAUCUGAAGAUGCUGUUAUUGUGAACUCGACGAGUAGGGCGGGACACGUGUUAUCCUGUCUGAAUAUGGGGGGACCAUCCUCCAAGGCUAAAUACUCCUGAUUGACCGAUAGUGAACCAGUACCGUGAGGGAAAGGCGAAAAGAACCCCGGCGAGGGGAGUGAAAAAGAACCUGAAACCGUGUACGUACAAGCAGUAGGAGCCCCAUCACUCAAGUGCCUCGCACUGAGUGAUGCAAUAACAUCACCGAAAAUAGCGCCGAAUUUGCUAACAAGGUUGGUCGAUUUUUUCAAGCCGUCGCGCAGUGUACCUAGAAGUACACGAGCAACGGAAGUUAAAAAAUCGGGCAAGAUUGAACGCAAAGGCAAGCGGGACAUUUGAGGAUGGGGUGACUGCGUACCUUUUGUAUAAUGGGUCAGCGACUUAUAUUCUGUAGCAAGGUUAACCGUAUAGGGGAGCC
rnacentral:rRNA from 1 species